ensembl:lncRNA
UCCAGAACCACCACCCCUGGGUGCCUGGGAUUUCGGUAGCAGGCUGCCGGAGCGCUCUGCACUUGGCUGCUAACCUGCGUGCAACCCCACUUCAAAGCUGUCCCAUUUCUCAUAGAAGUUGUCCCAAAAAUGUGUGCACCCACAUCCUUUGCUACCCAAAAGCAGGAGCAGGGAGAUGUGUCCUACCCCAUUUUUGACACUGUCUCCCAUAACAUCCACACAGGUAAACUUAGGAAGUGUGGAAUAGACAAGUGGAGCAUCUCCUGUAUGAGAAAAGGCUGAGAGACCUGGGCUGUUCAGCAUGGAGAAGGGAAGACAGAGGAGAUCUUAUCAAUGCCUGUCACACCUAGAGACAAGCGAGCAAACCCCAAAAGCUGUAUUUACACACACAGACGCACUUCCAUCCACCUGGCCAUAAGGAACAAGUCCAUCUACGCAGCAUGGAACCAGUUGCACAGGACAAUACGUGCCUCUGUGCACAGCUGCUAAGCAGAACAGUUUAUGAAAGCUCGUGCACCCCAUCCUCAACCAUCUGGCUUGGGCUUACCAGCGUCCAGCCCAAGCCGUGCUUACGCACAACCCUUCCC